rnacentral:lncRNA from 1 species
AGAAUUCCCGGGGCUGUGGAAGAGACCAUAGACUCAACAGGAGGGGGAGUCCUGGGUAGCGCGCCGGUCUAAAUCGUUACUUGGCGGAAAGUUCCCAUGAGUCUUUGCCAGCGUCCCCCUCCUUUUGUGAGGAUUGGGAUAUUCCGACUCCUUAAGGGCCUGGCGCACAUAAGGGCCACAUCUGCCAGAGCCUGGAGUCUGCGAAGGCCGGGACCCGGUUCCCCGGCCCACAGUGGGGGUGUGCAAACCCGAGAGAACUGGGUUGCAAAUUCGUGAAGAAUCAGCAUCAUGUUUGGCAGCUGAGUAUUGGAGCCAGGAGCCUGCCAUGAGGUUUUGAGAACAGAGUGCUGUUUUAGAGCUGGCAGCAGCAUCUCAGCCCAAGAGAAGGUUAUAUUCCCAGAGGAUGUCAGUCCCAAGGACCAGUAGCUGCCAUCAGUUUGGAUUCUGAAAACUAACUGGCAUCAACACUGGGUGUAGAAACAUGCUUGCCUUAUGUAUCAGAGGACAUGCUCAGCAGAUCCAAGAGAUAUAUUUGGCAACUUUUUCUAGAAAAGGCACAUUGGGUAUCAUUCAUUACAUUCUUGAGUUUUUUUGGUAUUUUUUUUUUUUU